GAGGGUAUAAGCUCAGCGGUAGAGCACAAGCUUAGCAUGCAUGAGGUCCUGGGUUCAGUCCCCAGUACCUCCA
rnacentral:tRNA from 1 species